GGGUAUAUAGCUCAAGUGGUAGAGUGCAUGCUUAGCAUGCACAAGGUCUUGGGUUGAAUUCCCAGUACCUCCU
rnacentral:tRNA from 1 species